AACAUGUCCUAAUGAUUAAUUAGUAUUAGGUUUGACCUGCUCAAUGAAUAAUUUUAAAUAGCCGCAGUAUCUUGACUGUGCGAAGGUAGCAUAAUCAUUUGUCUUUUAAUUGAAGGCUGGAAUGAACGGUCGGAUGAAGGAAUAUCUUUCUUUAUAUUAAAUUAUUGAAUUUAAUUUUUUGGUUAAAAAGCUAAAAUUUUUAAAUGGGACGAGAAGACCCUAUAGAAUUUUAUUUUUAUUAGAAAUAUUAAUAUUUAUUGGUUAAUUAUAUAUUUAUUUUUAUUGAAAUUUUGUUGGGGAGACAUUGAGAUUAUUUUAACUCUCAUAUUUAUAUUAUUUAUGAAUAAUUAUAUUUAGGAUCUUAACUUUUUAGAUAUUUAGAUUAAAUUACCUUAGGGAUAACAGCGUAAUUUUUUUGGAGAGUUCUUAUCGAUAAAGGAGUUUGCGACCUCGAUGUUGGAUUAAAAUAAGAUUUAAGUGCAGAAGCUUAAUUUUCUAGGUCUGUUCGACCUUUAAUUUUUUACGUGAU
rnacentral:rRNA from 1 species